AAGUGUUGAUUAAGUUAGCAAUUUCCUUAUUACAUAUUGUUUGCAAUCUGGUUCCUGCUUCAUUUGUCUAUUUCCUUAUAUCUCCAAUUACUGUACACUCCUUUCUUAUCCAGCAGUAAUUAUUAUCUGUUGUCUUGUUCGGGCUCACUCUGUUGUGUAUAGAUCCUAAUGGAAGGGUUUUUUUCUCCCUACAUUUUCUUAGGUUUACAGUUUCUCUCAAUCAGCCCUGUCUAAAUUAUAACCCCUGUUUGAAGUAUAAAUAAAGUAAACCCUAUAGCAUAUAACCUAUAGGCAGAACAGGUGCUUUUGGGUGAAGUUUUCAAACAUACUGUAACAGUAAGAUAGCAUAACAUUAACAUACAGUAAGUUUGUGUUAGUCUUGUCUUGACUGAAGAUGGAUAGCCACCCUUGGCCCACAGUUCCAGGCCUCUGCAACUCUGCAUGACACUCAGUGUUAAAACAACAAGAUCAAGUGCAGGCUGAGAGACGACUGAGACACUUGAAGUGCUUCACCAUCCUUCAGCCCAUUAACUCUCCACAGGUGUGAUCAUUAAUCACUUUUGUUUUCACAGCUGGCCAUAUCCAUGGCUACACAGAAACACACGAUUGUUUGGGCACCCACAUAAAGGAAUAAUACAAGCAGGAUGUCAUGAUAGUAGGACAGGAAUGAUGGAGCUGGUGAUGGUGUGCCAUCUGUCAGAACAGCCAUAUUUUAAAGGUUGGCACGGAUGAGUGGUGCUACCCAGCAGGUAUGAAACCCUCCAGUUCUUGUCACGACAAUACGCACCCCCUUCAUUACACCCACCUCCCAUGUCCACACAUAUAGGAGAGAGUGUAUGUGUGCAUGCCUCUGGCAAUACUUGUUAAAACAGGAGAAUGGGUGUUCUUCUAGAUUUCAAGGUGUGUAAUAAACCUACGGCAUGUAAAUAUUUUUGUAUAUUGAUGUUCAUUUUAUAAGACAAGAUGAGAAGGUUUUAUCCAUCACAAGGGGAUAUUUGAUUUUUCCAGCAGCAUGGAUAAAA